GGCUUCUGUCUGAUCACCGCAGUUAAGCAGCAUCGGGCGCAGACAGUACUUUGAAGGGUUACCAUCUGGGAAUUCCGAGUGCUGUUG